GACAGAGGGGGCAAGCGUUGCUCGGAAUCACUGGGCGUAAAGGGCGCGUAGGCGGGCUGGCAAGUCAGUCGUGAAAUCUCUCGGCUCAACCGAGAAACGUCGGCUGAUAUUGCCGUUCUUGAGGGAUGCAGAGGAGACUGGAAUUCCCGGUGUAGCGGUGAAAUGUGUAGAGAUCGGGAGGAACACCGGUGGCGAAGGCGGGUCUCUGGGCAUCUCCUGACGCUGAGGCGCGAAAGCGUGGGGAGCAAACGGG
rnacentral:rRNA from 1 species